AAAACCAUACUCUCUGGGAUCGUUUCUGUGCACUUUGUUACCAGAGAAGUUUCUCUGGGCGUACAGAGUGCAGGAGACCUCGAGGAGGAGGCGGGGCAUUCCCCCUGGAGUGCGAGGCUGGCUCCGGAGGCGCUUCUGCAGCUGACAUUGGCAUUGAUAACCAGCCGUUCGUUCCUCUCCUCCUUUGGGAGAGGAAGAGGGAGGAGAUGCCGCGAGGG